CGAACAAAAUCGUCCGGGUCCGCCGGUUGGAGUUGCUCCUAACAUAGUGUUCACCUUCGCCGGCAAUUCACCAUGUCGUCAGCAAGAUCUUGGUCGAUGAUCCGUUCGUCUUGCACUAGAGGCACGAUUGGUGCUCGCUGCGGAUUUGUGAACAAAUAGGUGCCUCCUCUUGUCCUCUUGAUUUGCAUAGGUUGGGAUUUGUGCAGAUGCGGAAGGUGACGGAGAAGGAUGAGUGAGGGCUCUAGGAGUGGAAGGAGGAGAUGGUGACCAGCACGGCUCCUCCGGCCAGGAAGAUGCCGGACUCCGCUUCAAGCAUAUCGACUUACUCACUGGGGUGGAUGAGUCUUCUCCACCGGUGCGCCGAAAUCCAAACACACCUGCGUUUUGUUGCCCCUAAUUUUUUAUUCUUCCGAAGGGAUUAAUGGAGAGGGAUCAGCUCCCAGUCGGCAUGCAGGUCCUGUCCGACGAUGAUGACCCCGUGUGCCUCAAACUGCUGAAGGUCCUCCUCGAUGCUGCCAGUAUCAUGGUCAGAGCGUGCUUGCAGUUCAUUGUGUAUAUUCUUAUAAGAAACUUCAUUUUGUUGUAAGACAUAUUAUUACUCCCACGAGCAAAACACAUUCACAUCAUCAUCUUCAAGGCCAAGAUCAACGUGCUCCUGCCCUUCAGGACCUUUGCCAUCACGCUU